UACAGAGGUCUCAAGCGUUGUUCGGAUUCAUUGGGCGUAAAGGGUGCGUAGGUGGCGCGCUAAGUCAGGUGUGAAAUUUCGGAGCUUAACUCCGAAACUGCAUUUGAUACUGGCGUGCUUGAGGACUGGAGAGGAGACUGGAAUUCAUGGUGUAGCAGUGAAAUGCGUAGAGAUCAUGAGGAACACCGGUGGCGAAGGCGGCAUCCUGGACCGAGAUUGACGCUGAUGCGCGAAAGCCAGGGGAGCAAACGGG
rnacentral:rRNA from 1 species